rnacentral:rRNA from 1 species
GAUGAACGCUGGCGGCGUGCUUAACACAUGCAAGUCGAACGAAAAGGCCCUGCUUUUGUGGGGUGCUCGAGUGGCGAACGGGUGAGUAACACGUGAGUAACCUGCCCUUGACUUUGGGAUAACUUCAGGAAACUGGGGCUAAUACCGGAUAGGAGCUCCUGCUGCAUGGUGGGGGUUGGAAAGUGUCGGCGGUUGGGGAUGGACUCGCGGCUUAUCAGCUUGUUGGUGGGGUAGUGGCUUACCAAGGCUUUGACGGGUAGCCGGCCUGAGAGGGUGACCGGCCACAUUGGGACUGAGAUACGGCCCAGACUGCUACGGGAGGCAGCAGUGGGGAAUAUUGCACAAUGGGCGGAAGCCUGAUGCAGCAGCGCCGCGUGCGGGAUGACCGCCUUCGGGUUGUGAACCGCUUUCGCCUGUGCCGAAGCGUUAGUGACGGUAAUGGGUAAAGAAGCACCGGCUAACUACGUG